rnacentral:rRNA from 1 species
GCAUAUCAAUAAGCGGAGGAAAAGAAACCAACAGGGAUUGCCCUAGUAACGGCGAGUGAAGCGGCAACAGCUCAAAUUUGAAAGCUGGCCUUCGGGUCCGCGUUGUAAUUUGCAGAGGAAGCUUUGGGCGCGGCGCUGUCUGAGUCCCCUGGAACGGGGCGCCAAAGAGGGUGAGAGCCCCGUAUAGACGGAUGCCUAGCCUGUGUAAAGCUCCUUCGACGAGUCGAGUAGUUUGGGAAUGCUGCUCAAAAUGGGAGGUAAAUUUCUUCUAAAGCUAAAUACCGGCCAGAGACCGAUAGCGCACAAGUAGAGUGAUCGAAAGAUGAAAAGCACUUUGAAAAGAGGGUUAAAUAGCACGUGAAAUUGUUGAAAGGGAAGCGCUUGUGACCAGACUUGCGCCGGGCUGAUCAUCCGGUGUUCUCACCGGUGCACUCUGCCCGGCUCAGGCCAGCAUCGGUUCUCGCGGGGGGAUAAAGGCUUAGGGAAUGUAGCUCCUCCGGGAGUGUUAUAGCCCUCUGCGUAAUACCCUCGCGGGGACCGAGGUCUGCGCUCUGCAAGGAUGCUGGCGUAAUGGUCAUCAGCGACCCGUCUUGAAACACGGACCAAGGAGUCAAGGUUUUGCGCGAGUGUUUGGGUGUCAAACCCGCACGCGUAAUGAAAGUGAACGUAGGUGAGAGCUUCGGCGCAUCAUCGACCGAUCCUGAUGUACUCGGAUGGAUUUGAGUAAGAGCGUUAAGCCUUGGACCCGAAAGAUGGUGAACUAUGCUUGGAUAGGGUGAAGCCAGAGGAAACUCUGGUGGAGGCUCGCAGCGGUUCUGACGUGCAAAUCGAUCGUCAAAUCUGAGCAUGGGGGGCGAAAGACUAAUCGAACCAUCUAGUAGCUGGUUACUCGCCGAG